GCUGGUGCUUAAGCGAAGAGGGUACACCUGUUCUCAUUCCGAACACAGAAGUUAAGCUCUUCAGCGCCGAUGAUACUCUUUUAGGGGAAAGUAGGUCGGCGCCAGCU
rnacentral:rRNA from 1 species